AUGGAGUCUGGGCUGCGCUGGGUUUUCCUUGUUGCUCUGCUACAAGGUGUCCAGUGUGAGGUGCAGCUGGUGGAGUCUGGAGGAGGCUUGGUCCAGCCUGGGGGUUCCCUGAGACUCUCCUGUGCAGCCUCUGGAUUCACCUUCAGCAGCUACUGGAUGAGCUGGGUCCGCCAGGCUCCAGGGAAGGGGCUGGAGUGGGUCUCAUACAUUAAUGGUAACGGUGGUAGCACAAGCUACGCAGACGCCGUGAAGGGCCGAUUCACCAUCUCCAGAGACAACGCCAAGAACACGCUGUCUCUGCAAAUGAACAGUCUGAGAGCCGAGGACACGGCCCUGUACUACUGUGCCAGUGACACAGUGAGGGGACAUCAGUUCUAUUUUCUCAUCUUCGCCUUCUCCUUCUUCUCCAAGAAAAUGGAGGGUGUGGUCUCUGUGUCUAAAUCCCAGGACUCAGGCCCUUUACCUGCAGCUCAGAGUCACCUUCAACACCUGUGGCAUCGGGGAGACCUGCAGGUGGAACCUGAAUGUGCUGAGAGCUCUGCGGUGGCAUCCAGGUCCUUGUGA